rnacentral:rRNA from 1 species
GGCCUAAUACAUGCAAGUCGAGCGAAUGGAUUAAGAGCUUGCUCUUAUGAAGUUAGCGGCGGACGGGUGAGUAACACGUGGGUAACCUGCCCAUAAGACUGGGAUAACUCCGGGAAACCGGGGCUAAUACCGGAUAACAUUUUGAACCGCAUGGUUCGAAAUUGAAAGGCGGCUUCGGCUGUCACUUAUGGAUGGACCCGCGUCGCAUUAGCUAGUUGGUGAGGUAACGGCUCACCAAGGCAACGAUGCGUAGCCGACCUGAGAGGGUGAUCGGCCACACUGGGACUGAGACACGGCCCAGACUCCUACGGGAGGCAGCAGUAGGGAAUCUUCCGCAAUGGACGAAAGUCUGACGGACCAACGCCGCGUGAGUGAUGAAGGCUUUCGGGUCGUAAAACUCUGUUGUUAGGGAAGAACAAGUGCUAGUUGAAUAAGCUGGCACCUUGACGGUACCUAACCAGAAAGCCACCGUUAACUACGUGCCAGCAGCCGCGGUAAUCCCUACGUGGCCAGUGUUAUCCGGAAUUAUUGGGCGUUC